AGAAACUCGCUGCUCUUUUGAUGGACUCUCACAGCAAACUGGAGAAAAUAAUGCUGAAUAACUGUGAGCUGACAGAGAAAAGCUGUUCAGUUCUAGCUACUGUUCUCUCCUCCAAAACCCAUCCUGAAAGAGAUGAACCUGAACAACAGUCGUCUGCUGGAUUCAGGAGUCAAAGAGAUCUGUGAGGGACUGAAGAACCCUGUGUGUGAGCUGAAGAUACUGAAACUUUCAGACUGCAGUAUCAGUGAAGAAGGUUAUAAAGCUCUGUCUUCAGCUCUGAGAUC